rnacentral:rRNA from 1 species
GAGUUUGAUCAUGGCUCAGAUUGAACGCUGGCGGCAGGCUUAACACAUGCAAGUCGAACGAUGAUUACUAGCUUGCUAGUAUGAUUAGUGGCGAACGGGUGAGUAAUGCUUAGGAAUCUGCCUAUUAGUGGGGGACAACAUUCCGAAAGGAAUGCUAAUACCGCAUACGUCCUACGGGAGAAAGCAGGGGAUCGCAAGACCUUGCGCUAAUAGAUGAGCCUAAGUCGGAUUAGCUAGUUGGUGGGGUAAAGGCCUACCAAGGCGACGAUCUGUAGCUGGUCUGAGAGGAUGAUCAGCCACACUGGGACUGAGACACGGCCCAGACUCCUACGGGAGGCAGCAGUGGGGAAUAUUGGACAAUGGGCGAAAGCCUGAUCCAGCCAUGCCGCGUGUGUGAAGAAGGCCUUUUGGUUGUAAAGCACUUUAAGUGGGGAGGAAAAGCUAAUAAUUAAUACCUAUUAGCCGGGACGUACCCACAGAAUAAGCCCCGG